rnacentral:lncRNA from 1 species
UGACGUAGUUGCGUGUCCCCGAACCGACCUAUAAUAAGUGCUUCCCUUUCUGACCCAAUUGCUGCUGGCUUGGCUUCAAUCCUAUCUUACUAAACUACCCACACCCCAACAAGUUGAAGAAGACCGGGCAGACAGGUUAUAAGUAGACCGGGCAGACAGGUUAUAAGUAGGGAUAAUGUAGCUAUAGCCUGUAACUCACUAGUUUCGUUCUUGUUGUUAGUGUGGUUUCGAGUUGCUAGCUUGAUUCUUCCUUUCCUACUUGAUUGUUGAAGACCUAGUUUCAUCCUAUCAGUCAUCCUAUAAUAAGAGAAUAUAUCAUUUAGGAGGGGACAAGUCGAAAAAGGAUCCAUAUUUGUUCUAUGCUUAACACAAGCACCCGA